CUCAGGGCAACCUAUCCCAGCGCUCAGUCACUGUCACAGUAAGGUUUUUCCUUAUGUUCAGGUGGGAAUUCCUCUGUCCCAAUUUCUGCUCAUCCCGUUGCUCGCAGCACUGAGAACAUCCUGGCUUCCAUCCUCUGGACACCCCCUCUUCAGGCACAUACACAUCUUUAGACACUGAUCACAUCCUCUCUCAGUAUUCUUCUCUUCAGGCUGGGGGACAGGCAGGAGGGAGCUGCUGAGAGCCCUGUGGCCCCCGAGGGCCCUGUGGUCCCCAAGAGCCCUGCAACCCCCCAGGAGUCACCGAAACGAGUGUGUCACAAUCAGGGUGGCACUUCGGAACACAGCACCGGAACACUGCACCAUCAUGAUGACUGCUGGUGAGUUACCCUUUGCUGGGGGCUUCAGCCCCUCUAAAAACACCCCAAAAAGUAGAAAAAGUGGGGAGAAAAAGCGGUAUUGGGCUUUCAAAUGAGGGUCUUCCCUCUAUCACAGCUGUGCCUUCAUGGAAGAGGACAUUUCCAAGGCAUCCAUCGCCUCCACGGACGUGGGGCUGCUGCUGCAAGAUGAUGUUUUUGUGGACUUUUUCAACACCUUUCUGAACCUUCCCGUUUUUGGCCAGACACCUCUUUACAUCAGUGGCACGGGCCAGUGGUACCUGUGGCCAGAGCUCCCGAGCCACCUGGUGAGAACUUUCCUCGUUAGAAGGGAGGAGUGGGAGGCAAAGGGAGGAAGGGACAGGGCAGGGGAGGGAAGGAGCCGGUUUCUCACUGCCAAGGCCCCUCUCUGGCUCUCCUGUUCGUGCAGCUGGGCGAUCAUUUCAAACCCAGGCGUCAUUUCGCUUUGAAGCCCUGGGCGGAGCACAAGCCAUUUAAAGUCCUGCUGCAGUUUAUGGGGUCUAUCUAUAAACACCGA
rnacentral:lncRNA from 1 species